rnacentral:tRNA from 1 species
GCCUGGGUGGCUCAGUCGGUUAAGUGUCUGACUUCAACUCAGGUUAUGAUCUCGCAUUCGUGGGUUUGAGACCCACGUCUGGCU